rnacentral:rRNA from 1 species
UACGUAGGGGGCUAGCGUUGUCCGGAAUCAUUGGGCGUAAAGCGCGUGUAGGCGGUCCGGUAAGUCCGCUGUGAAAGCCCGGAGCUUAACUCCGGAGGGUCGGUGGAUACUGCCAGUCUUGAAGGUGCUAGGGGGAGAUGGAAUUACCGGUGUAGCGGUGAAAUGCGUAGAUAUCGGUAGGAACACCAGUGGCGAAGGCGGUCUCCUGGGGCAUUCUUGACGCUGAGGCGCGAAAGCUGGGGGAGCAAACGGG